AAUUUGAAAAGUAAUCCCAUAUUCCUCAAUAUGACGAGAUAUGUUCUGCCAAAUCAUUCAAGGAACAAUAGGAAGAACCACCUUCUAUCUGACAAAGCUUUGCUUUGUCCUUAAAUUCCACAGCUCUCUGCCUCACUUCCUCUCCUUCUCCAUCCACCAUUAGCUUUCUUAUGGCUUUCACUAUCUUCUCUCUCUCCAACUCCUCCAAUUCAAGGCCUACCCUCCAUAGAUGACACACAUACCUGACAUUUAAAAAUUGGUCUCCAAAAAAUGGCCGGCAGAGCAUUGGAACACCUUCACAAAUGCUCUCUAAUGUUGAAUUCCAACCACAGUGGGUCCAAAAUCCUCCCACUGCACUAUGUGCCAACAAGUCCUGUUGGGGUGCCCAUUCCACAAUACAGCCUCUCUCCUCUACUCUUUUUUUGAAAAUUUCUGGCAAUGGCUCAAGCAAAUCUGAACCACGAACCAAACCAGGCCUAAGCACCCACAAGAAAGGCAGCUCACUGUUGGCU
rnacentral:misc_RNA from 1 species